ACCACGAGGUGACGAAACUAGUUGAUCCAUUCUUAUCUGACCUUGAUAAUUUCGCGCAUUUCUACGACAGUUUUUUGAGUUCGAUAUACAUAUAAUGCAAGUAACUAGACAUUGUCUUUUCGUCGAGUAGAAAAUGACCAUGUUGACAGUAGAAUGUUACACAAAGAAACCAGACCGUAAUAUUUAAUGUCAGUGAAUCGGGAAUAAAGUGUAGGUGAAUGAAUAUAAUUGGUGUAGGUUAUACAGGAUGUAAAAAGAAAUAGAGCAGAUGGCGAUCGUUCUCGAGGCACAAAUUCAAGAUCCCUCGAAAGCGUUGGCAUGUCCAGUCCAGUCUUUUUGGAUCUCUAGUCACUGAUUCAUUUUAAUUCACGACACCGAAAAAUUAAUUCUUUUUAUGAGUUCAAAAAUAUUAUAAAGGAUUAUCAAUAUGACUUCAGCAAAGAUCGAAUUUGCAGUUAACAUGACUUGUGAAAAAUGCGUUGAUACUGUUCGUAAUAGUUUAAAGGAUGUAAAAGGAAUUAAAAAUAUUGAUAUAUCGUUAGAAAAAGGAAAUAUUGUAGUUGAGACUGACUUACCGUAUUCUGUAAUUCAAAAAAAAAUUGAACAAUCUGGAAAGAAGGCUGUUUUAAAGGGAUAUGGAGAUAAUUCGGGUGCUGUUGCAAUGUUAGGAGGAAAUUCAGGUUAUAGCAUAGGAAACAAGAUAAUGGGAGUAGUAAGGUUUGCUCAAACACCUGAUGGAUGCAUUAUAGAUGGAACAGUUGAUGGCUUAACACCUGGUGAACAUGGAAUACAUGUACACGAAUGUGGUGAUAUCUCCAGUGGUUGUGAUAAUGUCGGAGAACACUUUAAUCCAAACAGUACAGUGCAUGGAGGACCUGAGGAUAAUGAACUUAAUAGACAUGUUGGAGAUCUUGGAAAUAUAGCAGUAGAUGAAUCAGGUAGAGCUACUUUUAGAAAAGUAGACAAGCUCAUAAAAAUAUCUGAUAUUAUUGGAAGAUCUCUAGUUAUAACAGAAAAAGCAGAUGAUUUGGGUAGAAGUGAUAGUCCAACGUCUAAGAUAGAUGGAAACAGUGGAAAUAGACUGGCUUGCGGUAUUAUUGCUCGUUCGUCUGGUUUGUUUCAAAAUACGAAAAAAAUUUGUGCUUGCGACGGACUUACGCUAUGGGAUGAAAGAGAUAAAGCACUCUCACAGAAACAGGAAUUGUCCACCAAAUCUGAAAUAAGUAAUGCCUGUACAGUAUGCUAAUUCUUUUAUCAAUUAUACAUAUAAGAGUGUAGUUAAAUUCAUAGAACUUCAGCAUUUAUGUUUUACAUCAUAUCUUUAAAUCAAAAUUAUAAACACCAUCUGGGGAUACCUAAAACAAGUUUCAUGAAAUGAAACACGCAAGUCAUUCCAAUAAAAUACUGUAUAUAUGAUACAAAAUAUCUAUGUAAUGUAGAAAGGUUUUAUAUUUUCGUAAUGUAUAUAUAAGUAUUUAUGAGCGAUAUUCAUAUAUGUUGUAUAUUUUGUAUAAUAUAUGACACGCGUAAGGGUAUUAAAGAGCACCGAAAUUUUAUUUUCUUUAUUACAUAAAAUAAUAAAUCAAUGUUUUUAAUUCUAAUUCCUUUCACCAAGAGCAGUGGUGAUUACAGGCACGAUUAUCAUACUGACUGUGCUCAGUAUGUACAAAGUUAUGUAUUCAUAUUUGCUAUAAUUAUUUUGACGCGUAGUAAAUACAAAAGCUUCCUAAAAUAUUAAUAACUGCGAUAUGUAAAAAUAACAUUUAUUACAAAAGAUACAUGCGAUACAAAUUCUCUUUAUAUAAAUACAAAGUUCGAUUUAUAAAUCCUACGUUAUAGAGGGCGCAAGGUUACCAAAAUAACAGUCCAAAGCGUGAAAUUUAAAUUUUAUCACCAUUGAUUCUAUAUGAUACAAAUUAAACUUAUAUAUAAUCUUCCAUUUUAUUUAAUAAUCUUUACUUCAUUAAUACUAAAUAUAAUUUUCAAAUUAUAAAUUGGCAUUAAAUGUAAUUGUACUGUGUAGCAUUUUAAUAAUAAUGAUAGAAAAUGUAAUGUUACGAAAUUUAGCGGAGACAACAAAUGCGUCAUCGACCGAAGAUUAACAUAUUUAUUUUACUUCUGAUUUCCUAAUCAUUAAAUUUUGAAAUCGAUCGAGAAGCCAUUGUACCGUGAAUACAUAAGUAUUCAUUGUAAUCAAAUUUACGGAAUAAUAGGAGACCUAAAUGUACGUAGAUAUCAUCGAGCUAUUUCAGCAUAUAUGUAUGUUGUACAGAUUUAGAUUAGAAUGAAAUAAACUUAGAUAAGUCA